GACGAACGCUGGCGGCGUGCUUAACACAUGCAAGUCGAACGGAAAGGCCCUGCUUUUGUGGGGUGCUCGAGUGGCGAACGGGUGAGUAACACGUGAGUAACCUGCCCUUGACUUUGGGAUAACUUCAGGAAACUGGGGCUAAUACAGGAUAGGAGCUCCUGCUGCAUGGUGGGGGUUGGAAAGUUUCGGCGGUUGGGGAUGGACUCGCGGCUUAUCAGCUUGUUGGUGGGGUAGUGGCUUACCAAGGCUUUGACGGGUAGCCGGCCUGAGAGGGUGACCGGCCACAUUGGGACUGAGAUACGGCCCAGACUCCUACGGGAGGCAGAAGUGGGGAAUAUUGCACAAUGGGCGGAAGCCUGAUGCAGCAACGCCGCGUGCGGGAUGACGGCCUUCGGGUUGUAAACCGCUUUCGCCUGUGACGAAGCGUGAGUGACGGUAAUGGGUAAAGAAGCACCGGCUAACUACGUG
rnacentral:rRNA from 1 species